AUUGAACGCUGGCGGCAGGCCUAACACAUGCAAGUCGAGCGGAUGAAGGGAGCUUGCUCCUGGAUUCAGCGGCGGACGGGUGAGUAAUGCCUAGGAAUCUGCCUGGUAGUGGGGGAUAACGUCCGGAAACGGGCGCUAAUACCGCAUACGUCCUGAGGGAGAAAGUGGGGGAUCUUCGGACCUCACGCUCUCAGAUGAGCCUAGGUCGGAUUAGCUAGUUGGUGGGGUAAAGGCCUACCAAGGCGACGAUCCGUAACUGGUCUGAGAGGAUGAUCAGUCACACUGGAACUGAGACACGGUCAAGACUCCUAAGGGAGGCAGCAGUGGGGAAUAUUGGACAAUGGGCGAAAGCCUGAUCCAGCCAUGCCGCGUGUGUGAAGAAGGUCUUCGGAUUGUAAAGCACUUUAAGUUGGGAGGAAGGGCAGUAAGUUAAUACCUUGCUGUUUUGACGUUACCAACAGAAUAAGCACCGGCUAACUUCGUG
rnacentral:rRNA from 1 species